rnacentral:rRNA from 1 species
GUUUUCGGAUCGUAAAGCUCUGUUGUAAGAGAAGAACGGGUGUGAGAGUGGAAAGUUCACACUGUGACGGUAUCUUACCAGAAAGGGACGGCUAACUACGUGCCAGCAGCCGCGGUAAUACGUAGGUCCCGAGCGUUGUCCGGAUUUAUUGGGCGUAAAGCGAGCGCAGGCGGUUAGAUAAGUCUGAAGUUAAAGGCUGUGGCUUAACCAUAGUACGCUUUGGAAACUGUUUAACUUGAGUGCAGAAGGGGAGAGUGGAAUUCCAUGUGUAGCGGUGAAAUGCGUAGAUAUAUGGAGGAACACCGGUGGCGAAAGCGGCUCUCUGGUCUGUAACUGACGCUGAGGCUCGAAAGCGUGGGGAGCGAACAGGAUUAGAUACCCUGGUAGUCCACGCCGUAAACGAUGAGUGCUAGGUGUUAGGCCCUUUCCGGGGCUUAGUGCCGCAGCUAACGCAUUAAGCACUCCGCCUGGGGAGUACGACCGCAAGGUUGAAACUCAAAGGAAUUGACGGGGGCCCGCACAAG